GAUGAACGCUGGCGGCGUGCUUAACACAUGCAAGUCGAACGGGAAACCUUUUAAUGAAGCUUCGGCAGAUUUAGCUGGUUUCUAGUGGCGGACGGGUGAGUAACGCGUGGGUAACCUGCCUUAUACAGGGGGAUAACAGUCAGAAAUGACUGCUAAUACCGCAUAAGCGCACAGGACCGCAUGGUCCGGUGUGAAAAACUCCGGUGGUAUAAGAUGGACCCGCGUUGGAUUAGCUUGUUGGUGAGGUAACGGCUCACCAAGGCGACGAUCCAUAGCCGGCCUGAGAGGGUGAACGGCCACAUUGGGACUGAGACACGGCCCAGACUCCUACGGGAGGCAGCAGUGGGGAAUAUUGCACAAUGGGGGAAACCCUGAUGCAGCGACGCCGCGUGAAGGAAGAAGUAUCUCGGUAUGUAAACUUCUAUCAGCAGGGAAGAUAGUGACGGUACCUGACUAAGAAGCCCCGGCUAACUACGUG
rnacentral:rRNA from 1 species